UAGCAUAUCAAUAAGCGGAGGAAAAGAAACUAACAAGGAUUCCCCUAGUAACUGCGAGUGAAGCGGGAAAAGCUCAAAUUUAAAAUCUGGCGGUCUUUUGCCGUCCGAGUUGUAAUCUAGAGAAGUAAUGCCCGUGCUGGACCGUGUAUAAGUCUCCUGGGAUGGGGCGUCAUAGAGGGUGAGAAUCCCGUCUUUGACACGGACUACCAGUGCAUUGUGGUAUGCUCUCAAAGAGUCGAGUUGUUUGGGAAUGCAGCUCAAAAUGGGUGGUAAAUUCCAUCUAAAGCUAAAUAUUGGCGAGAGACCGAUAGCGAACAAGUACCGUGAGGGAAAGAUGAAAAGAACUUUGGAAAGAGAGUUAAACAGUACGUGAAAUUGCUGAAAGGGAAACGCUUGAAGUCAGUCGCGUUGGCCAGGGAUCAGCCUUGCUUUUGCAUGGUGUAUUUUCUGGUUAACGGGUCAGCAUCAAUUUUGACCACUGGAAAAGGGCCUGGGGAAUGUGGCAGCUUAGGCUGUGUUAUAGCCCCUGGUCGCAUACAGUGGUUGGGAUUGAGGAACUCAGCACGCCGCAAGGCCGGGUUUCGACCACGUUCGUGCUUAGGAUGCUGGCAUAAUGGCUUUAAGCGACCCGUCUUGAAACACGGACCAAGGAGUCUAACAUGCCUGCGAGUAUUUGGGUGGAAAACCCGAGUGCGCAAUGAAAGUGAAAGUUGAGAUCCCUGUCGUGGGGAGCAUCGACGCCCGGACCAGAACUUUUGGGACGGAUCCGCGGUGGAGCAUGUAUGUUGGGACCCGAAAGAUGGUGAACUAUGCCUGAAUAGGGUGAAGCCAGAGGAAACUCUGGUGGAGGCUCGUAGCGAUUCUGACGUGCAAAUCGAUCGUCAAAUUUGGGUAUAGGGGCGAAAGACUAAUCGAACCAUCUAGUAGCUGGUUCCUGCCGAA
rnacentral:rRNA from 1 species